UACGUAGGGGGCAAGCGUUGUCCGGAAUUAUUGGGCGUAAAGCGCGCGCAGGCGGCUUUGUAAGUCUAGUGUUUAAUCUCGGAGCUCAACUCCGAUUCGCACCGGAAACUGCAAGGCUUGAGUACAGAAGAGGAAAGUGGAAUUCCACGUGUAGCGGUGAAAUGCGUAGAGAUGUGGAGGAACACCAGUGGCGAAGGCGGCUACCUGGACUGACACUGACACUGAGGCGCGAAAGCGUGGGUAGCAAACAGG
rnacentral:rRNA from 1 species